rnacentral:rRNA from 1 species
AUUGAACGCUGGCGGAAUGCUUUACACAUGCAAGUCGAGCGGCAGCGCGGGGGCAACUCUGGCGGCGAGCGGCGAACGGGUGAGUAAUGCAUCGGAACAUGUCCGGUUGUGGGGGAUAACCUGACGAAAGCCAGGCUAAUACCGCAUGAGCUCGAGAGAGGAAAGCGGGGGACCUGCAAGGGCCUCGCGCGACCGGGUUGGCCGAUGUCCGAUUAGCAGUUGGUGGGGUAAAGGCUUACCAAGGCGAUGAUCGGUAGCUGGUCUGAGAGGAUGAUCAGCCACACUGGGACUGAGACACGGCCCAGACUCCUACGGGAGGCAGCAGUGGGAAUUUUGGACAAUGGGGCAACCCUGAUCCAGCCAUUCCGCGUGAGUGAAGAAGGCCUGGUU